CUUCUCCUUCCUCAAAA
rnacentral:sRNA from 1 species